rnacentral:lncRNA from 1 species
GUAGUCAUGAUCAUUGCCAUCAUGAUCAUUACCAUCAUCACUAUCAGCAUCACCAUCAUCAUAUCAGCAGCGUUAUGAUCAUUAUCAUCAUCAUCAACAUCAUCAUCAUAUGAUAAACAUUACCUCACCAUCAUCAUUAUUAGCUUCAAUAUCAUCACCAUCAUCAACAACAUGAUAUAAUUAUCAUCAUCAUAUCAUCAAUCAUCAUCACCUUCACCAUC